AACGAACGCUGGCGGCGUGCCUAACACAUGCAAGUCGAACGAGAAAUUCCUGCUUCGGCAGGGAGAGUAAAGUGGCGCACGGGUGAGUAAUGCGUGGGUAACUUGCCUUUAAGUAAGGGAUAACCCACUGAAAGGUGGGCUAAUACCUCAUAAGACCACUUCUUACAACAGAUGGGGUUAAAGGUGGUUUCUUAAAUGAACUGCCGCUUAAAGAGAGGCCCGCGUCCCAUCAGCUUGUUGGUAGAGUAAUGGUCUACCAAGGCCGAGACGGGUAGCUGGUCUGAGAGGAUGACCAGCCACACUGGAACUGAAACACGGUCUAGACUCCUACGGGAGGCAGCAGUGAGGAAUCUUGCGCAAUGGGGGAAACCCUGACGCAGCAACGCCGCGUGGGUGAAGAAGGUCUUCGGGUCGUAAAGCCCUGUCAGGAGGGAAGAAACAGUUAUGCAUGAAUACUGCAUAAC
rnacentral:rRNA from 1 species